UUCCGGUUGAUCCCGCCGGACCCGACUGCUAUCGGAUUGGGACUAAGCCAUGCGAGUCAACUCCGCAAGGGGUGGCGCACGGCUCAGUAACACGUAGUCAACCUACCCUGGGGACGGGGAUAACCUCGGGAAACUGAGGCCAAACCCCGAUAGGCCAUGGCUCCUGGAAUGGGCUAUGGCUGAAAUCUAUAUGGCCCCAGGAUGGGACUGCGGCCGAUCAGGUUGUUGGUGGGGUAAUGGCCCACCAAGCCUAUAACCGGUGCGGGCUCUGAGAGGAGGAGCCCGGAGAUGGGCACUGAGACAAGGGCCCAGGUCCUAUGGGGCGCAGCAGGCGCGAAACCUCCGCAAUGGGCGAAAGCCCGACGGGGUCAGUCCGAGUGGUUCCCGCUGAGGGAACCUUUUGCCAGCUGUAAACAGGCUGGCGAAUAAGGGGUGGGCAAGUUUGGUGUCAGCCGCCGCGGUAAUACCAGCACCCCGAGUGGUCGGGACGAUGAUUGGGCCUAAAGCAUCCGUAGCCGGCCCAGUAAGUCCUCCGUUAAAUCCAACGGCUCAACCGUUGGGCUGCGGGGGAUACUGCUGGGCUAGGGGACGGGAGAGGCGAGGGGUAUUCCCGGGGUAGGGGUAAAAUCCACUGAUCCCGGGAGGACCACCAGUGGCGAAGGCGCCUCGCUAGAACGUGCCCGACGGUGAGGGAUGAAAGCUGGGGGAGCGAACCGGAUUAGAUACCCGGGUAGUCCCAGCCGUAAACGAUGUAGGCUCGGUGUUGGGCUGCCUCAGUGGCAGCCCAGUGCCGCAGGGAAGCCGUUAAGCCUACCGCCUGGGGAGUACGGCCGCAAGGCUGAAACUUAAAGGAAUUGGCGGGGGAGCACCACAAGGGGUGAAAGCCUGCG
rnacentral:rRNA from 1 species